GGUACCCAGGGGACCUGGCCGGGGGCAAGGAUGACGCCCCAGAGUGCAGAGGGUGUUCAUGAUCCAGCGCUGCCUGGCCGUGGGAGGCAGACAGCGCAUCAAAGGCCUGUCCAGGAGCUGUCACAGCGCAGACACCUUUCCCAGCAACAGUUUGAAAUCCCUUCCUGUUCCAUUUCCAACCGCCUUGGGCCACCUCCGCGGUUUCGCCUCAAGCCUUCUUGGACCGGUUUAGCUUGAUUCCGGAGGAGAUAAAUGGCUUUCGACCAGGCCUCUUAGACCACUGACUUGGUUGGGCCUUGUGGGCAGUAAUACUUGAAAGCACCGGCUCAUUAAAACAAAACCCACAACAGUCAGAGGAAAUCCUGGUCUUGGUGGAAGUCUAAACCACAGGAGGGGUACUCUCUAAAGGACACUACGAAAAUGCCCACCAACAUGGAUGUCCCCCCUUGGAUCACGGCCAUCCCAUAAUGUAGAUGCAUUUAUUUCAACUUUGAAAGUCCCCAUAAUCUUUGACAGUCCCAAUACUAUUCCAAAGUGUCUUUUCUGAGAAUAAGGCAAUCUUUUAACUGUGAGCCCCCGUAAAACAAAAACUUCAUUACGUAGGUCCAACAUAUGAUGGCACAGAGUGAACCUUCUCAUUCCAAAAGGGAGAAAUAAGGAAAGAUCAGACCCAAGCAGACCAAACCCCAGCAGAGCAAACAUCGUAUUUCGCAACUCCAGAGCUCGUGAUGAAAUCUUCUGGGCUCUAAAAGGCCUAGGUAGUCCUGUCCCUCCUGCUCUGAUGCCUGCAGAACACAAAGAACCUCUUUAAAAGGAAGUUUUAUUUCUUAAUUUUGUGCAUGAAUGUUUUGCCUGCUAUAUGGAAGUGUACCCCAUAUAUGCAUGUAGGGCCCACAAAGACCAGAAGACGUUGGAUCCUCUGGAAAUGGAGUUCCACUGGAGUUACAGACAGCUGUGAAUUGUCACAGAGGUGCUGGGAAGUGAAGCCCGGUCCUCUGUAAGAGAAGCAAGAGCUGUUGACCACUUAGCCGGGUCCUCUGUAAGAGAAGCAAGAGCUGUUGACCACUUAGCCGCCUCUCCAGCCUCACCGCCACUCCCAAGUCAGCUCCACUCCAUGCAUGCAUCUUUGGCAGACAUCCCAUGGUUCUGGCAUCUCCAGCACCCUGGGGGUCUCUGCUGCAGCUUGGACUUGACUUUCAUAGCUUCAUACAACAGCAUCUCAGGGACUCCAACUCUGCAAGAUUGCCUAGGCUCAGUUGUGUAGCAUGAAUCCUUGCCAGUUCCUCAGCUGAUCCUGUUUCCUCAGACUGGAUGCCUCUCAGCUGAACUGUGCUGCUCAAAAACCUAAACGCUUAACCGGCUAGUUCCUGGUUUUCACGCCUUUAUACCUUUCUGCCUCCUGCCAUCACUUCCUGGGAUUAAAGGCUCGUUACCACACCUGACCGUUUCCAGUGUGGCCUUGAACUUAGAGAUCCAGACAGAUCUCCGCCUUUGGAAUGCUAGGAUUAAAGGCAUGUGCUACCAUUUUCUGGCCUCUA